rnacentral:lncRNA from 1 species
CGAUCGCGAGAAGCUACUUGGGCAAGUAGAAAAAGCGAGGGACGACGCCAUGGCUGAUCUCGCCGAGGCAAACAAGGAAAAAGGGAAGAUGGCUGCCGAGUUGACCCAAGCUCAAACGGAAUCCAAGAAGGUUGCUGACGACCUUCUUCAUGCUCAAGAGACCAACGAACAACUCCGAAAACAGGUCGAAGAGCUGGAGCAGCAGAACAAGGAGCUCAAGAAACAGGUUGAAGAA